rnacentral:rRNA from 1 species
AUCAUUACCGAGUGCGGGUCCUUUGGGCCCAACCUCCCAUCCGUGUCUAUUGUACCCUGUUGCUUCGGCGGGCCCGCCGCUUGUCGGCCGCCGGGGGGGCGCCUCUGCCCCCCGGGCCCGUGCCCGCCGGAGACCCCAACACGAACACUGUCUGAAAGCGUGCAGUCUGAGUUGAUUGAAUGCAAUCAGUUAAAACUUUCAACAACGGAUCUCUUGGUUCCGGCAUCGAUGAAGAACGCAGCGAAAUGCGAUACGUAAUGUGAAUUGCAAAUUCAGUGAAUCAUCGAGUCUUUGAACGCACAUUGCGCCCCCUGGUAUUCCGGGGGGCAUGCCUGUCCGAGCGUCAUUGCUGUCCUCAAGCACGGCUUGUGUGUUGGGCCCCGUCCUCCGAUCCCGGGGGACGGGCCCGAAAGGCAGCGGCGGCACCAUGUCUGGUCCUCGAGCGUAUGGGGCUUUGUCACCCGCUCCCGUAGGUCCAGCUGGCAGCUAGCCCCGCAACCAAUCUUUUUAACCAGGUUGACCUCGGAUCAGGUAGGGAUACCCGCUGAACUUAAGCAUAUCAAUAAGCGGAGGA